UAUUAAGGUGUCUGAUUUAAGUAGUAAACUGUAAAUUUACUUAAGAAUUUAUUAUUCCCUUGAUAA
rnacentral:tRNA from 1 species